GACGAACGCUGGCGGCGUGCUUAACACAUGCAAGUCGAACGGAAAGGCCUGCUUUCCCUUGUGGAUUGCGGGUACUCGAGUGGCGAACGGGUGAGUAACACGUGAGUGAUCUGCCCCCAACUUGGGUAUAAGCCUGGGAAACUGGGUCUAAUUCCCGAUAGGACUGCAGGGUGGUGCCUGUGGUGGAAAACGAUUUUCUAGUGGUUGGGGAUGAGCUCGCGGCCUAUCAGCUUGUUGGUGGGGUAAUGGCCUACCAAGGCGGCGACGGGUAGCCGGCCUGAGAGGGUGGACGGCCACAUUGGGACUGAGAUACGGCCCAGACUCCUACGGGAGGCAGCAGUGGGGAAUAUUGCACGAUGGGCGGAAGCCUGAUGCAGCGACGACGCGUGGGGGAUGACGGCCUUCGGGUGGUAAACUCCUUUCGACCGCGAGGAAGCCACCUGGUUGGAAGGGUGGUGACGGUAGUGGUAGAAGAAGCACCGGCUAACUACGUG
rnacentral:rRNA from 1 species